rnacentral:rRNA from 1 species
UACAGAGGAGCCAAGCGUUGUCCGGAUUGACUGGGCGUAAAGCGCACGCAGGCGGGUGCGCGCGUGGGGUGUGAAAUCUGGCCGCUUAACGGCCAGGCGCCAUCCCAUACGGCGCGCCUGGAGCUAUGCAGAGGUCGGUGGAAUUGCCGGUGUAGUGGUGAAAUGCGUAGAGAUCGGCAGGAACACCCAGGGGGAAACCAGCCGACUGGGCAUAGUGCUGACGCUGAUGUGCGAGAGCGUGGGGAGCGAACCGG